UUACAGUCAAAUCACGCUGAAAACACCGGCUCUCGUUCGAUCACCGAAGUUAAGCAUCGUAGAGCCAGGUCAGUACUUAGAUGGGGGACCGCUUGGGAACAACUGGUACUGUAAG